GUCCACGAAGACGGCAGGCAGCAGCCUCUGGUCGUCUGGUCAGCUGGACGCGGCUGUGAGGCGGUCUGCGGGCAAGCCCUCGACAACUGAAAAGGAAAGAGUGCAUGUCUGCAUCUUUAAGAAGAUGUUCGAGUUCAUUUAUAAAGAAGAUGAUCUUUGUUUUAAAACAUAUCCUCAUCACCUACAGUUUAUUUCUUUCAUCAAAGUGGUUCAAGAUGCAUUGCAUUUUGGUAUCAAAAGCUUCCAACAGUUCCUGCAUCAAAAAACAUUAUUUGGCUGGCAUGGCAGAAAACUUCGGGACUUUUGGUGGUACCCUUCCUUCCUGAAGUUGUGCUAAGUGUUUGAAGGUCAUGAUGAAGUUUAAGGCCCUAGUGGGGUGGGAUCUGCUCUACACAGACUGCCAUAGAGAAACUGCCAACCAUCUAUCCAUAUGGCACCUUCAGGCCUGUGGCUCACUUGCUGGUUUGGUGACACCUCUGGA